rnacentral:tRNA from 4 species
CAGAAAAUAGUUUAUAAAAAUAUUAGUUUUGGAGAUUAAAGAUGAAUUAUCAAUUCUUUUCUGA